UACGGAGGAUGCGAGCGUUAUCCGGAUUUAUUGGGUUUAAAGGGUGCGUAGGCGGGCUCUUAAGUCAGCGGUAAGAAUUCGGGGCUCAACCCCGUCCGGCCGUUGAAACUGGGGGCCUUGAGUGGGCGAGAAGAAGGCGGAAUGCGUGGUGUAGCGGUGAAAUGCAUAGAUAUCACGCAGAACCCCGAUUGCGAAGGCAGCCUUCCGGCGCCCUACUGACGCUGAGGCACGAAAGUGCGGGGAUCGAACAGG
rnacentral:rRNA from 1 species